AAUUGAGGCGGGCUGGACCUCUCGGGGUUACAGCCUUGCUGAAUUAUUCACCCUUGUCUUUUGCGUACUUCUUGUUUCCUUGGUGGGUUCGCCCACCACUAGGACAAACAUAAACCUUUUGUAAUUGCAAUCAGCGUCAGUAACAAAUUAAUAAUUACAACUUUCAACAACGGAUCUCUUGGUUCUGGCAUCGAUGAAGAACGCAGCGAAAUGCGAUAAGUAGUGUGAAUUGCAGAAUUCAGUGAAUCAUCGAAUCUUUGAACGCACAUUGCGCCCUUUGGUAUUCCAAAGGGCAUGCCUGUUCGAGCGUCAUUUGUACCCUCAAGCUUUGCUUGGUGUUGGGCGUCUUGUCUCUAGCUUUGCUGGAGACUCGCCUUAAAGUAAUUGGCAGCCGGCCUACUGGUUUCGGAGCGCAGCACAAGUCGCACUCUCUAUCAGCAAAGGUCUAGCAUCCAUUAAGCCUUUUUUUCAACUUUUGACCUCGGAUCAGGUAGGGAUACCCGCUGAACUUAAGCAUAUCAAAAGCCGGGAGGAAA
rnacentral:rRNA from 1 species